AUACCCUGGUAGUCCACGCCGUAAACGAUGUCGACUUGGAGGUUGUGCCCUUGAGGCGUGGCUUCCGGAGCUAACGCGUUAAGUCGACCGCCUGGGGAGUACGGCCGCAAGGUUAAAACUCAAAUGAAUUGACGGGGGCCCGCACAAGCGGUGGAGCAUGUGGUUUAAUUCGAUGCAACGCGAAGAACCUUACCUGGUCUUGACAUCCACAGAACUUUCCAGAGAUGGAAUGUGCCUUCGGGAACCGUGAGACAGGUGCUGCAUGGCUGUCGUCAGCUCGUGUUGUGAAAUGUUGGGUUAAGUCCCGCAACGAGCGCAACCCUUAUCCUUUGUUGCCAGCGGUCCGGCCGGGAACUCAAAGGAGACUGCCAGUGAUAAACUGGAGGAAGGUGGGGAUGACGUCAAGUCAUCAUGGCCCUUACGACCAGGGCUACACACGUGCUACAAUGGCGCAUACAAAGAGAAGCGACCUCGCGAGAGCAAGCGGACCUCAUAAAGUGCGUCGUAGUCCGGAUUGGAGUCUGCAACUCGACUCCAUGAAGUCGGAAUCGCUAGUAAUCGUGGAUCAGAAUGCCACGGUGAAUACGUUCCCGGGCCUUGUACACACCGCCCGUCACACCAUGGGAGUGGGUUGCAAAAGAAGUAGGUAGCUUAACCUUCGGGAGGGCGCUUACCACUUUGUGAUUCAUGACUGGGGUGAAGUCGUAACAAGGUAACCGUAGGGGAACCUGCGGUUG
rnacentral:rRNA from 1 species